rnacentral:rRNA from 1 species
CCCUUAGAUGUUCUGGGCCGCACGCGUGCUACACUGAGUGGAUCAGCGGGUCAGGUUACGCGAGAGCGUUUCCUAAUCUUCAAAUCCGCUCGUGAUGGGGAUUGACGGUUGCAAUUUUCCGUCAUGAACGAGGAAUACCUUGUAAGCGCGGGUCAUCAUCCCGCGCUGAAUACGUCCCUGCCCUUUGUACACACCGCCCGUCGCUCCUACCGAUUGAGUGGUCCGGUGAGGCUUUGGGAUCUAAGCGAAAAGAGCGUUUCGUUCCUUUUGCUGGGAGAACUCAGUCGAACCUUAUCAUUUAGAGGAAGGAGAAGUCGUAACA